rnacentral:rRNA from 1 species
GACGAACGCUGGCGGCGUGCUUAACACAUGCAAGUCGAACGGAAAGGCCCUGCUUUUGUGGGGUGCUCGAGUGGCGAACGGGUGAGUAACACGUGAGUAACCUUCCCUUUACUUUGGGAUAACUUCAGGAAACUGGUGCUAAUACCUGAUAGGAGCUCCUGCUGCAUGGUGGGGGUCGGAAAGUUUCGGCGGUUGGGGCUGGACUCGCGGGUUAUCAGCUUGUUGGUGGGGUAGUGGCUUACCCAGGCUUUGACGGGUAGCCGGCCUGAGAGGGUGACCGGCCACAUUGGGACUGAGAUACGGACCAGACUCCUACGGGAGGCAGCAGGGGGGAGUAUUGCACAAUGGGCGGAAGCCUGAUGCAGAAACGCCGCGUGCGGGAUGACGGCCUUCGGGUGGUAAACCGCUUUCGCCUGUGACGAAGCGUGAGUGACGGUAAUGGGUAAAGAAGCACCGGCUAACUACGUG